UAAAAGCAUAGCAAUUUGCAACACAAAAAUCAUUUCAAGUACCUCAGCCUCGUGCAACCUCGUUUUCCUUUUUCUGCUUAAAAGCCUUUUAAAGUUUGCCCCCCCCCCAAAGUGGAGUGUGUGUGUGUGUGUAUGCAUGUGUGUGUAUGCGCGCGCGCGCGGUAAGUACUGGUGGUUUCGGGCUGUUUCUCCCCUUAAGAAGUUUCAGAGAGCACGGCUGGAGACUAGGGGGGACACUAGAAUGCCCUGCCUGCCAUCGCGCAUUCUCUGUUUCUCACAGCUUGUUUCAGUCUUGCAAAGAUUUAGUUUAGGUACAACAACAAAUAAGACACUAGACAGCUGUCUGCAUAGUCCCCCAAUCAUCCACCUGGGCCGCGUCCGCGCCCCUGCACCCCUAUUCUGUAGCCCAAAGAUGCGCCAGGACCCCACAGUGCUACAACCUUUGCGCGCCCUCUAGCGUUAGUAUCUAGGAUCACCACGAGCUGCUGCAUAGCUGGGCUGCCUGCAACCCCGUGAUGUGGGAGAGGAUGUGGGAUGAACCCCGUUGCUGGAUGCACCCGAUGUGCGGGGUAGACGGAGAGCACCCGGCUCAGGGAGCUCCUGGAGUCGAACGCAUGAGGCCGCUGCGACCCCGAGAAUCAAACUACCGGAACAUAAAGGAAUCUUGGAAAUACAGCAUUCCCUAAAUGUCGAGCCGCAGUGGAGUGUACGGAACAGAGUCUGCUGCCUUUUCAUGUUGCUGCUGCUUCAGGAGUCAUGGUUUUAAGAGUGCCAAUCCCAGGGGGAGCAGGCCAUGGAGUGGUCAGUCUGAAAAUGGGACUCAGACCCAGAGCCCAUCCUGGUGAGGCUGGAUACAGGUACAUACAGAAAACGGCUGAACGGUGCUGGUCCUGGCAGCUGGAACAAAGGGUGAUUUCGGUGGUGUCUUCUUUCCCAACUUGUCUUCUGCCUUUCUGGAGGGAGCACACUGUUCAUUUUCAGAUGGCGUGAAACAGCGACCUCUCUGCUCCCUUUGAGAACAGCAAGCCCCUGAGAUGAAAGCUGGGGAAGGGAUGAAGUCCCAGAAAAGUGAUGGAGAUAAGGAUGUUAGGGACAGAGCGCGGGUUGGGGGAAACUGUCUGCACCCCAUGAGCUGCACCCCAGUGCUGGCCUCCAUGGAAACUGGCUGCCAGACUGACUGUCACAGGUUCUGCUGGUUUCUUUGUUUAAUGUUUACAGCUGCAUUUAUUUAUUUAUGGGUGAGGCAUCUGAUUACUAUGGGGUGUCUGUCUGUCUGUCUGUCUGUCUGUCUGUCUGUCAGAGGAUAACUUGGAGGAGUCCUGUCCUUCAUGUGGGUCCCAGGAUUUGAACCCAGGCUGCCAGGCUUAGCAGCAAGCACCUUUAUCGACUCUGCCCACCCUGCCAGCCGGAGACUGACUAAUUCUUUAAUGCUGAUAAAACAUGAAGAUAUCUCCUUCUGACCCGGGGUUUUAAUCGGAACCAGCCCCGCCCCCCCGUCUCCUGGCCCCUGACCACUUAUUUCAACAGUAGUCUCAACUCCUGGCUUCUCUGGCCGUAAAAAAGGCUGUGUGUAGACAGGCACGUCUUAGAGCAUGCUCGUUGUCCCACAGCUGGCCCAAAACGCUGGGUGCAAGAAUGAGCACCCACUGUGUGCCAGGGCUGUCAAUUCCACACAUGUGCCAAGGGCAUGUCUCCUGCAGGAAUCUCACUCCACACCCUCACUCAAUCUGUCCUUCGUCUGAGCUGACCCUUCACAAUGAAACCGGAAGCUGAGGGACUUCAUUUCCCAUGACCUCUCACCUUCUACGUCAGAGCUUCUGACCCUGCCUUCCGCUCCUCCAUUUGUGGUUGUCCAGCAAGACAUUGGACCAUGAUAGAAAUGUCCCUUAAUUGUGCUGCCCAUUAUGACAGACACCCACCACAUGUGACCAGUGAGCACUUGAAAUGUGUCCAGGGCGACUGAGCAAUUGAAGCUGCAUUUUAAUUAAUUUUAAUUGACAUAUCAACAUAUGGCUAGUAACUGCGGUAUUGGACAGCACGGCUCAUUCGGAACCUGUCCUUAGCUCUGCCUGUGACUCUGUCACUCACAUCUCGCCUUUCUGUGCGUCUGUCACUACCUCUGCCGUCUGAAUGUCACUGCCGUGGCACGCCUGAGCAGGCGAUGGCUUUCACCAGCUUGUGCCUGCUUGUGAGAGCCCACACAAGCAUCUCUUCCAGUUCUUCAGGGACCAUAUGAGGCCUGUUAGCCCUUGUGGAAGUCUUCACACCCUGGGAAUGGGCAUGGACAAGCGCGGUGAGAAGUUUCUUCUCCUCGGAGAAGCUCGUGCUGAACACCCAGCAGCAGUGGAGCCAAGACUUGCUGUGAGCAGCUCUAGCAAAUGUGUUUUAAAUUUUGCUCUCUUGGAACCUCCUUGUGACCCCAGUCUCUCUAGCCCUACUGAGUACCCCCACACCCAGCUUCUCUGCCCCGUCUUAGGUUGGGCCCAGCUCUGUGAUCCUGCAUCUCUUCUGUUUGAUGUCUGUGUUUGUAUCUGCCUUCUCUAUUAAACUGACAAUCCCUGCAGGA